GACGAACGCUGGCGGCGUGCUUAACACAUGCAAGUCGAACGGUAAGGCCCUUCGGGGUACACGAGUGGCGAACGGGUGAGUAACACGUGGGUGAUCUGCCCUGCACUUCGGGAUAAGCCUGGGAAACUGGGUCUAAUACCGGAUAGGACUCCGGACUGCAUGGUCUGGGGUGGAAAGCUUUUGCGGUGUGGGAUGGGCCCGCGGCCUAUCAGCUUGUUGGUGGGGUGAUGGCCUACCAAGGCGACGACGGGUAGCCGGCCUGAGAGGGUGACCGGCCACACUGGGACUGAGAUACGGCCCAGACUGCUACGGGAGGCAGCAGUGGGGAAUAUUGCACAAUGGGCGCAAGCCUGAUGCAGCGACGCCGCGUGAGGGAUGACGGCCUUCGGGUGUAAACCUCUUUCAGCAUCGACGAAGCGAAAGUGACGGUAGGUGCAGAAGAAGGACCGGCCAACUACGUGCCAGCCGCCGCAGUAA
rnacentral:rRNA from 1 species